rnacentral:rRNA from 1 species
UACGUAGGGUGCAAGCGUUUGUCCGGAAUUAUUGGGCGUAAAGAGCUCGUAGGCGGUCUGUCGCGUCGGCUGUGAAAACUCGGGGCUCAACCCCGAGCCUGCAGUCGAUACGGGCAGACUAGAGUGCGUGUAGGGGGAGACUGGAAUUCCUGGUGUAGCGGUGAAAUGCGCGAGAUAUCAGGAGGGAACACCGGUGGGCGAAGGCGGGUCUCUGGGCCGAUACUGACGCUGGAGGAGCGGAAAGCCGUGGGGGAGCGAACAGGA